rnacentral:rRNA from 1 species
GACGAACGCUGGCGGCGUGCUUAACACAUGCAAGUCGAACGGAAAGGCCCCUUUGGGGGUACUCGAGUGGCGAACGGGUGAGUAACACGUGAGUAACCUGCCCUUGACUUCGGGAUAACUUCAGGAAACUGGGGCUAAUACCGGGUAGGAAUCCUUGCUGCCUGGUGGGGGUUGGAAAGCUUCGGCGGUUUUGGAUGGACUCGCGGCUUAUCAGCUUGUUGGUGGGGUAGUGGCUUACCAAGGCUUUGACGGGUAGCCGGCCUGGGAGGGCGACCGGCCACAGUGGGACUGGGAUACGGCCCAGACUCCUACGGGAGGCAGAAGUGGGGAAGAUUGAACAAUGGGCGGAAGCCUGAUGCAGAAACGCCGCGGGCGGGAUGACGGCCUUCGGGUUGUAAACCGAUUUCAGCAGGGGCGAAGCUUGUGGUGACGGUACCGGCAGAAGAAGCACCGGCUAACUACGUG